rnacentral:misc_RNA from 1 species
CGACGUUAUGCAUGAACGUAAUGCUCAUAAUUUCCCUCUAGACUUAGCGGCUGUCGAAACUCCAUCUACAAAUGGAUAAGACUUUCGUUUUAGUAUAUACGAGUUAUUGAAAAUAAAGGAGCAAUAAUAAACUUCUUGUUCGUUCAAGAAGAUUGGUAUUGCUCCUUUAUUAGCCUAUUUAUUACUAUUUAGUUGUCUCUUACUUAAUGUUUAAUAUAACAAAUAACAAACUAAAUUUUUUUCUUUCUUUUCAUUUUCAUUAUGUAGUAAUUUAUAGAAUAUAUAUUUCUUUUUUUUGUGCCUCUUGUAUUUUGGAAUAAAGGUAAAUACGAUGAAUGGUAGAGAUCCAAAUUCCUUCUAAUUUGGACUACAGAGAGUCUAGGGGCGGAUGUAGCCAAGUGGAUCAAGGCAGUGGAUUGUGAAUCCACCAUGCGCGCCUGUGUG